rnacentral:rRNA from 1 species
AUUGAACGCUGGCGGCAUGCCUUACACAUGCAAGUCGAACGGCAGCGGGGACUUCGGUCCGCCGGCGAGUGGCGAACGGGUGAGUAAUGUAUCGGAACGUACCAUUGAGUGGGGGAUAACGUAGCGAAAGUUACGCUAAUACCGCAUAUUCUCUCCGAAGGAAAGCAGGGGACCGCAAGGCCUUGCGCUCUUUGAGCGGCCGAUAUCAGAUUAGCUAGUUGGUGAGGUAAAGGCUCACAAAGGCGACGAUCUGUAGCGGGUCAGAGAGGAUGAUCCGCCACACUGAAACUGAGACACGGUCCAGACUCAGACGGGGGGCAGCACUGGGAAAUUUUGGACAAUGGGGGCAACCCUGAUCCAGCCAUGCCGCGUGAGUGAAGAAGGCCUUCGGGUUGUAAAGCUCUUUCGGCCGGGAAAAAAUCGCAUGGGCUAAUACCCUGUGUGGAUGAUGGUACCGGAAUAAGAAGCACCGGCUAACUACGUGCCAGCCGCCGCGGUAA